ensembl:snoRNA small nucleolar RNA, C/D box 1C
UUGAGCUGAGGAUUUAAAAGUUUUUCCCUGUCUGAAAACCUCUUGUGUGAUUAAUUCUAAAAUACUGAAGCUCAG